UGAGAAUUCGCGCCUUUUGCAUUCUCAUUCAUAGAAUAACUGUAUUUUAAAGAAUUAACGCCAAUUUGAACAAAUUAAAAACUGACUUUUAACUAACUAACAAGUAGAGUAUAUAUAACAAGUAGGUUACUCCUCACAUAACAAUCUCAUAUCCCAUUUUUACAGAAAGAAAAAAGAAGUGAAGAAAAUUGAUCAUUGAUUUGAAGAUGUUCACGAAAUUGUUAUCGUGGGAUCAGGGAAUGACGAUUUCUGGUGAUGUUGUUGAUGAUGAUGAAUCCCUCGGCACAAGGUUUAUCAGAGGAUUUAGGCAGAGAACCAGGGAAUAGCUUAUGCUGAUAUUGUUGAUAAUAAUCAUCUUCCUUUUUUUCUACUGGUUAUUCAAUCAUGCUAAAUAACAAUUUUCAAAGUCCUCAGAGAAAUGGAGCUGCAAGUUCAAGAAAAGAUCAUGAAUACCCAAAUUGAUUCAAGUUCAAGAAAUGAUGAAUGCACAAAUUUUAUUCAAGUUCAAGAAAUGAUGAAUACACAAAUUGAUUGAAGUUAGAUACGUAUUUCUAUACUGAAUUUGUACUGAGAAAAACAUUAAUAUCUCCUUCUUUGUAAUGGAACUAUUAAUUGAUACAAGUAAACUGAAAAACAGAGUCUUUCUUUGGAUUCAAAUGAAAUAGAAUGAGUAUUCAUUCAUCCAUA